GGCCCGCUGGCUCAAUGGUAGAGCGUCUGACUACGAUUCGUGACUGAUAACUUCAAUCAGGAGGUUCCAGGUUCGAGACCUGGGUGGGUCG